rnacentral:rRNA from 1 species
AUUGAACGCUGGCGGCAGGCCUAACACAUGCAAGUCGAGCGGAUGAAGGGAGCUUGCUCCUGGAUUCAGCGGCGGACGGGUGAGUAAUGCCUAGGAAUCUGCCUGGUAGUGGGGGAUAACGUCCGGAAACGGGCGCUAUUACCGCAUACGUCCUGAGGGAGAAAGUGGGGGAUCUUCGGACCUCACGCUAUCAGAUGAGCCUAGGUUGGUUUGCCUGUUUGGUGGGGUAAGGCCUACCAAGGCGACGAUCCGUAACUGGUCUGAGAGGAUGAUCAGUCACACUGGAACUGAGACACGGUCCAGACUCCUACGGGAGGCAGCAGUGGGGAAUAUUGGACAAUGGGCGAAAGCCUGAUCCAGCCAUGCCGCGUGUGUGAAGAAGGUCUUCGGAUUGUAAAGCACUUUAAGUUGGGAGGAAGGGCAGUAAGUUAAUACCUUGCUGUUUUGACGUUACCAACAGAAUAAGCACCGGCUAACUUCGUG